CGAACGCUGGCGGCGUGCUUAACACAUGCAAGUCGAACGGAAAGGCCCUGCUUUUGUGGGGUGCUCGAGUGGCGAACGGGUGAGUAACACGUGAGUAACCUGCCCUUGACUUUGGGAUAACUUCAGGAAACUGGGGCUAAUACCGGAUAGGAGCUCCUGCUGCAUGGUGGGGGUUGGAAAGUUUCGGCGGUUGGGGAUGGACUCGCGGCUUAUCAGCUUGUUGGUGGGGUAGUGGCUUACCAAGGCUUUGACGGGUAGCCGGCCUGAGAGGGUGACCGGCCACAUUGGGACUGAGAUACGGCCCAGACUCCUACGGGAGGCAGCAGUGGGGAAUAUUGCACAAUGGGCGGAAGCCUGAUGCAGCAACGCCGCGUGCGGGAUGACGGCCUUCGGGUUGUAAACCGCUUUCGCCUGUGACGAAGCGUGAGUGACGGUAAUGGGUAAAGAAGCACCGGCUAACUACGUGCCAGCAGCCGCGGUGAUACGUAGGGUGCGAGCGUUGUCCGGAUUUAUUGGGCGUAAAGGGCUCGUAGGUGGUUGAUCGCGUCGGAAGUGUAAUCUUGGGGCUUAACCCUGAGCGUGCUUUCGAUACGGGUUGACUUGAGGAAGGUAGGGGAGAAUGGAAUUCCUGGUGGAGCGGUGGAAUGCGCAGAUAUCAGGAGGAACACCAGUGGCGAAGGCGGUUCUCUGGGCCUUUCCUGACGCUGAGGAGCGAAAGCGUGGGGAGCGAACAGGCUUAGAUACCCUGGUAGUCCACGCUGUAAACGGUGGGUACUAGGUGUGGGGUCCAUUCCACGGGUUCCGUGCCGUAGCUAACGCUUUAAGUACCCCGCCUGGGGAGUACGGCCGCAAGGCUAAAACUCAAAGGAAUUGACGGGGCCCCGCACAAGCGGCGGAGCAUGCGGAUUAAUUCGAUGCAACGCGUAGAACCUUACCUGGGUUUGACAUGGAUCGGGAGUGCUCAGAGAUGGGUGUGCCUCUUUUGGGGUCGGUUCACAGGUGGUGCAUGGCUGUCGUCAGCUCGUGUCGUGAGAUGUUGGGUUAAGUCCCGCAACGAGCGCAACCCUUGUUCACUGUUGCCAGCACGUUAUGGUGGGGACUCAGUGGAGACCGCCGGGGUCAACUCGGAGGAAGGUGGGGAUGACGUCAAGUCAUCAUGCCCCUUAUGUCCAGGGCUUCACGCAUGCUACAAUGGCUGGUACAGAGAGUGGCGAGCCUGUGAGGGUGAGCGAAUCUCGGAAAGCCGGUCUCAGUUCGGAUUGGGGUCUGCAACUCGACCUCAUGAAGUCGGAGUCGCUAGUAAUCGCAGAUCAGCAACGCUGCGGUGAAUACGUUCCCGGGGCUUGUACACACCGCCCGUCAAGUCAUGAAAGUUGGUAACACCCGAAGCCGGUG
rnacentral:rRNA from 1 species